UGGAAUGUAAGGCCUUUGACUGUGCAGGU
rnacentral:piRNA from 1 species